rnacentral:rRNA from 1 species
GACGAACGCUGGCGGCGUGCUUAACACAUGCAAGUCGAACGGAAAGGCCCUGCUUGCAGGGUGCUCGAGUGGCGAACGGGUGAGUAACACGUGGGUGAUCUGCCCCUUACUUUGGGAUAAGCCUGGGAAACUGGGUCUAAUACUGGAUAGGACCAUGCUGUAGGUGGUGUGGUGGAAAGAUUAGUUUCGGUAAGGGAUGAGCUCGCGGCCUAUCAGCUUGUUGGUGGGGUAAUGGCCUACCAAGGCGUCGACGGGUAGCCGGCCUGAGAGGGUGGACGGCCACAUUGGGACUGAGAUACGGCCCAGACUCCUACGGGAGGCAGCAGUGGGGAAUAUUGCACAAUGGGCGCAAGCCUGAUGCAGCGACGCCGCGUGGGGGAUGACGGCCUUCGGGUUGUAAACUCCUUUCAGCCAUGAUGAAGCCCUUGUGGUGACGGUAGUGGUAGAAGAAGCACCGGCUAACUACGUGCCAGCAGCCGCGGUAAUACGUAGGGUGCGAGCGUUGUCCGGAAUUACUGGGCGUAAAGAGCUCGUAGGUGGUCUGUCGCGUCAUUUGUGAAAGCCCGGGGCUUAACUCCGGGUUGGCAGGUGAUACGGGCAUGACUGGAGUACUGUAGGGGAGACUGGAAUUCCUGGUGUAGCGGUGAAAUGCGCAGAUAUCAGGAGGAACACCGGUGGCGAAGGCGGGUCUCUGGGCAGUAACUGACGCUGAGGAGCGAAAGCAUGGGUAGCGAACAGGAUUAGAUACCCUGGUAGUCCAUGCCGUAAACGGUGGGCGCUAGGUGUGGGUUUCCUUCCACGGGAUCCGUGCCGUAGCUAACGCAUUAAGCGCCCCGCCUGGGGAGUACGGCCGCAAGGCUAAAACUCAAAGGAAUUGACGGGGGCCCGCACAAGCGGCGGAGCAUGUGGAUUAAUUCGAUGCAACGCGAAGAACCUUACCUGGGCUUGACAUGCACUGGAUGCGGCCAGAGAUGGUUGUUCCCUUUGUGGCUGGUGUGCAGGUGGUGCAUGGUUGUCGUCAGCUCGUGUCGUGAGAUGUUGGGUUAAGUCCCGCAACGAGCGCAACCCUUGUCUCGUGUUGCCAGCAUUUGGUUGGGGACUCGCGGGAGACUGCCGGGGUUAACUCGGAGGAAGGUGGGGAUGACGUCAAAUCAUCAUGCCCCUUAUGUCCAGGGCUUCACACAUGCUACAAUGGCUGGUACAGAGAGUUGCGAUACCGUGAGGUGGGGCUAAUCUCGUAAAGCCAGUCUCAGUUCGGAUUGGAGUCUGCAACUCGACUCCAUGAAGUCGGAGUCGCUAGUAAUCGCAGAUCAGCAAUGCUGCGGUGAAUACGUUCCCGGGCCU